rnacentral:rRNA from 1 species
CCAGACUCCUACGGGAGGCAGCAGUAGGGAAUCUUCGGCAAUGGACGGAAGUCUGACCGAGCAACGCCGCGUGAGUGAAGAAGGUCUUCGGAUCGUAAAGCUCUGUUGUAAGAGAAGAACGAGUGUGAGAGUGGAAAGUUCACACUGUGACGGUAUCUUACCAGAAAGGGACGGCUAACUACGUGCCAGCAGCCGCGGUAAUACGUAGGUCCCGAGCGUUGUCCGGAUUUAUUGGGCGUAAAGCGAGCGCAGGCGGUUAGAUAAGUCUGAAGUUAAAGGCUGUGGCUUAACCAUAGUACGCUUUGGAAACUGUUUAACUUGAGUGCAGAAGGGGAGAGUGGAAUUCCAUGUGUAGCGGUGAAAUGCGUAGAUAUAUGGAGGAACACCGGUGGCGAAAGCGGCUCUCUGGUCUGUAACUGACGCUGAGGCUCGAAAGCGUGGGGAGCAAACAGGAUUAGAUACCCUGGUAGUCCACGCCGUAAACGAUGAGUGCUAGGUGUUGGGUCCUUUCCGGGACUCAGUGCCGCAGCUAACGCAUUAAGCACUCCGCCUGGGGAGUACGACCGCAAGGUUGAAACUCAAAGGAAUUGACGGGGGCCCGCACAG